rnacentral:rRNA from 1 species
GUUCGGCUGGGCACUCUAAAGGGACUGCCGGUGUUAAACCGGAGGAAGUGGGAGUGAACGUCAAGUCCUCAUGGCCUUUAUGACCAGGGCUACACACGUACUACAAUGGCCGAUACAAAGGGCAGCGACACUGCGAGGUGAAGCCAAUCCCGUAAAAUCGGUCUCAGUCCGGAUUGGAGUCUGCAACUCGACUCCAUGAAGUUGGAAUCGCUAGUAAUCGUGGAUCAGCAUGCCACGGUGAAUACGUUCCCGGGCCUU